UGACCAAGCUCAUAAUUUGUCCAUCAGUGACUUCAUAGGAACAUCUGCCUGUUUGCUGCAGUGCCUGUCAGUUGUAAUACCCAGCUGACAAUCCAUACAAAGCAUUUUAAGAGUAAGACAGACCCUAUUCUGCUUCGUCAUCCAUGAAAGAUUUCCAUUGAUUUCUCAGAGAAAUGGAUCAGAGUCAUCACCUGAGAACAUCCACCAGGACUGUGUGCAGUGCUGGAUUUUCUGGUUUGCCUCCUCACAUAAGUCCUACAGACUUACAGCUCCAUAUUUGAAAAGAAAUCUCCCAUAAGCUACCAGGAAGGAGGACAACAGUCUUCCUUCCAGCAAGGCACCUCUUCCCCUGGCAAUGGAAAACAUUCCACAUUAAUUCCACCCUGACAAAGUUCUACAGUAAAUGCAAGUCAGACUCUGAAAGAAAAGAAACAGUGAGAGAACUUAUUUUCUCAGUUGAAUCCUCUUGUUUCCAGAUACA